AUUGAACGCUGGCGGCAGGCCUAACACAUGCAAGUCGAGCGGAUGAAGGGAGCUUGCUCCUGGAUUCAGCGGCGGACGGGUGAGUAAUGCCUAGGAAUCUGCCUGGUAGUGGGGGAUAACGUCCGGAAACGGGCGCUAAUACCGCAUACGUCCUGAGGGAGAAAGUGGGGGAUCUUCGGACCUCACGCUAUCAGAUGAGCCUAGGUCGGAUUAGCUAGUUGGUGGGGUAAAGGCCUACCAAGGCGACGAUCCGUAACUGGUCUGAGAGGAUGAUCAGUCACACUGGAACUGAGACACGGUCCAGACUCCUACGGGAGGCAGCAGUGGGGAAUAUUGGACAAUGGGCGAAAGCCUGAUCCAGCCAUGCCGCGGGUGUGAAGAAGGUCUUCGGAUUGUAAAGCACUUUAAGUUGGGAGGAAGGGCAGUAAGUGAAUACCUUGCUGUUUUGACGUUACCAACAGAAUAAGCACCGGCUAACUUCGUG
rnacentral:rRNA from 1 species